rnacentral:rRNA from 1 species
UACGGAGGGUGCGAGCGUUGUCCGGAAUCAUUGGGCGUAAAGGGUGCGUAGGUGGCCCAGUCAGCGUGCGGUGAAAGCUCGGGGCUCAACCCCGAGUCGGCCGUGCGAACUACUGGGCUGGAGCACUGUAGAGGCAGGCGGAAUUCCGGGUGUAGCGGUGGAAUGCGUAGAUAUUGGGAGGAACACCAGUGGCGAAGGCGGCGAUCUGGGAAGAUACUGACGCCGAGGUGCGAAAGCGUGGGGAGCAAACAGG